rnacentral:rRNA from 1 species
AGUGAACGCUGGCGGUAGGCCUAACACAUGCAAGUCGAACGGCAGCACAGGCGAGCUUGCUCUCUGGGUGGCGAGAGGCGGACGGGUGAGGAAUACAUCGGAAUCUACUUUUUCGUGGGGGAUAACGUAGGGAAACUUACGCUAAUACCGCAUACGACCUACGGGUGAAAGCAGGGGACCUUCGGGCCUUGCGCGAUUGAAUGAGCCGAUGUCGGAUUAGCUAGUUGGCGGGGUAAAGGCCCACCAAGGCGACGAUUCGUAGCUGGUCUGAGAGGAUGAGCAGCCACACUGGAACUGAGACACGGUCCAGACUCCUACGGGAGGCAGCAGUGGGGAAUAUUGGACAAUGGGCGCAAGCCUGAUCCAGCCAUACCGCGUGGGUGAAGAAGGCCUUCGGGUUGUAAAGCCCUUUUGUUGGGAAAGAAAUCCAGCUGGCUAAUACCCGGUUGGGAUGACGGUACCCAAAGAAUAAGCACCGGCUAACUUCGUGCCAGCAGCCGCAGUAA